rnacentral:misc_RNA from 1 species
GUGAAUCAUCGAAUUUUUGAACGCAAAUUGCGCUUCCUAGCAUCCCGGGAAGCAUGCCUGUUUGAGGGUCAGUAUUAACAAAAAAAUCGGUUUGGUUGCAAAUUGUGACGGUCCCGGAGUUUGGGCUAUCUUGACUUUUUUGGUUAAGGGGCCUAAAAUUGACCUUUUUGCUCAGUUUUAUACGUACAUAAAUUUUUUUUUUUAUUUGUCUAUUCUUAUUGCCAACACCUUAUUA